UCCAAAAGCUGGCUUCAUCUUGUGCUCAAGGCCAGCUCUCAGAUCUUUCCACAGCUCAGUUCUCUAGGAAUUAAAUUCAAGAAAGAAAUGGGAGGUGGCUCUGGCUGAAUUCUACACAUCUAAAAUUCAUAUUUAAACGCUGACUCCCAGCUGGGCAGUGGCGACACAGACCUUUAAUCCUUGGGAAGCAGAGGCAGAGGCAGGCGGAUCUCUGUGUUUGAGGCCAGCCUGUGCUACAGAGAGAGUUCCAGGACAGUCAGGGAUACACCAAGAAACCCUGUCUUGAAAAAUAGAAAAAUACUGACUCCCAGUAAACUAUAUUGUGAUUGCAUUUAGAGAUACGGCCAUUAAGGAGGUUACUGUGACCAGGUGAAGUGCUGUUUGAAAAGAGAACAAGGACACAUCCACGCACAGAGGAAAGGCCACAUGGCCAUGCAAAGCGAAGAUGACUGUCACCAAGCCAAGGAAAGGGGCCUCCGCGGAAACCUAAUGACAUGUUGGUCUUGGGCUUCCGGCCUCCAGGACUGCCUCUUCCCUAUGAGUCCCUUUUCCAUGUUUUCUUUUGUUUUUUUUGUUUUUUUUUUUGUUUUUGUUUUUUUUUUUGCUUUGUGAUACAGUGCAUUUAAAAAGGCUAUCCUGGAACUCCAAAGGAAGACGAACAGCGUCAACUAACCUAGAUCCUUGGGGCUCUCAGAGACUGAACCACCAACCAAAGAACAUACACGUAGUGUUGCUGAUCUCCACUAGCGGUGAUGCCAGAGAGAAACUCAACAAAGAACUGCUCUUUAGGGUCCUGUGGCAGCUUGCUGCUUCCACAACCUUGACUUGGGCCAGUUGGUGAGCCUUUCAGUUUCCGCAGGAUUGAACUUCGCCUGGUGUCUACCCGCAGAAAGGACGGACUGUAGCUGCUGGUUCGUGCCUGGUGUCUGCCUGCCUAGAGGACUUGCCUGCAGCUGCUGGGUUAUAUUUUGUGUUUGCUACAGGACUGAGCUGCUGCCCAAGAAGAUGGAGCUUGUCCCCCAAAAGAACUAUUGCUGAACAGGUCCACUUCCCCCAUAUCCUAAUAACUUUUCUCUUCUACAGUCUCUGCUGGUGGUAGGCUGGAGGAGAGGUUGAACCAUUAUUAAAAGCAGGUUGCAAAAAUUUUAUGCCUACAGCUAUCCAUAUGACCAUGGCUAUAGAACUAUCACCAGAUUCUGGUAGGCUCAUCACU
rnacentral:lncRNA from 1 species